UUGGAGGGCAAGUCUGGUGCCAGCAGCCGCGGUAAUUCCAGCUCCAAUAGCGUAUAUUAAAGUUGUUGCAGUUAAAAAGCUCGUAGUUGAAUUUCGGGAUCAAUGUUUCGGUCAUGCCGUUGGUAUGUACUGAUAUUAUUGAUUUCUCACCUUCUAAAGAACCGUAAUGCCAUUAAUUUGGUGUCACGGGGAAUUAGGACUGUUACCUUGAAAAAAUUAGAGUGUUUAAAGCAGGCUCACGCUUGAAUACAUUAGCAUGGAAUAAUGAAAUAGGACAUCCGAUUCUAUUUUGUUGGUUUCUAGGAUCGAUGUAAUGAUUAAUAGGGAUAGUUGGGGGCAUUAGUAUUCAAUUGUCAGAGGUGAAAUUCUUGGAUUUAUUGAAGACUAACUACUGCGAAAGCAUUUGCCAUGGAUGUUUUCAUUAAUCAAGAACGAAAGUUAGGGGAUCGAAGACGAUCAGAUACCGUCGUAGUCUUAACCAUAAACUAUGCCGACUAGGGAUCGGAUGAUGUUAAUUUUUUAAUGACUCAUUCGGCGCCUUACGGGAAAC
rnacentral:rRNA from 1 species